rnacentral:rRNA from 1 species
AGAGUUUGAUCCUGGCUCAGGACGAACGCUGGCGGCGUGCUUAACACAUGCAAGUCGAACGGAGCACCCUUGACUGAGGUUUCGGCCAAAUGAUAGGAAUGCUUAGUGGCGGACUGGUGAGUAACGCGUGAGGAACCUGCCUUCCAGAGGGGGACAACAGUUGGAAACGACUGCUAAUACCGCAUGACGCAUGACCGGGGCAUCCCGGGCAUGUCAAAGAUUUUAUCGCUGGAAGAUGGCCUCGCGUCUGAUUAGCUAGAUGGUGGGGUAACGGCCCACCAUGGCGACGAUCAGUAGCCGGACUGAGAGGUUGACCGGCCACAUUGGGACUGAGAUACGGCCCAGACUCCUACGGGAGGCAGCAGUGGGGAAUAUUGGGCAAUGGACGCAAGUCUGACCCAGCAACGCCGCGUGAAGGAAGAAGGCUUUCGGGUUGUAAACUUCUUUUGUCAGGGAAGAGUAGAAGACGGUACCUGACGAAUAAGCCACGGCUAACUACGUGCCAGCAGCCGCGGU